AACCUGUGAUGAAAAGAUUCUGCCAUAUGAACUCUGAUUAUAACCCUUACCGUUCCAUCUUUUUUCUGAGCUU